rnacentral:rRNA from 1 species
AGCGAACGCUGGCGGCAGGCUUAACACAUGCAAGUCGAGCGGGCAUCCUUGUGGUGUCAGCGGCAGACGGGUGAGUAACGCGUGGGAACGUGCCCUUCGGUUCGGAAUAACUCAGGGAAACUUGAGCUAAUACCGGAUACGUGCGAGAGCAGAAAGGUUUAUCUGCCGAAGGAUCGGCCCGCGUCUGAUUAGCUAGUUGGUGAGGUUAUGGCUCACCAAGGCGACGAUCAGUAGCUGGUCUGAGAGGAUGAUCAGCCACACUGGGACUGAGACACGGCCCAGACUCCUACGGGAGGCAGCAGUGGGGAAUAUUGGACAAUGGGGGCAACCCUGAUCCAGCCAUGCCGCGUGAGUGAUGACGGCCUUAGGGUUGUAAAGCUCUUCUCUCCGGGACGAUAAUGACGGUACCGGAGGAAUAAGCCCCGGCUAACUUCGUG